rnacentral:rRNA from 1 species
GCGGCCACGACGUACUUGGCGCAAUUCAUGGGGAAUACCUACUCGCCGAUGCCACAAGCAGUGUGGAAUGCUUGGGCACCACAUAAAUUCAAGUUCUUUGUGUGGCUAGCAAUCCAAGAUAGGAUUUGGACGGCCAAUAGAUUGGCUAAGCAGGGUUGGCCAAAUUGCAAUCUUUGCCCCCUUUGCAAGAGACAGCAAGAAUCGGGGGCUCACCUUUUCUACAAGUGUAGAUUCACUCUCCAUCUUUGGAAUUUGGUCAAUGAGUGGCUACAUCUUGAGCAGAUCGACACUACCUCAUGGCAUCUUGAGCCCUCAGUCAAAGAUUGGUGGAUCAACCGAUCUGGCAAAAGCACCCCAAAUCGUAAAGCUUGUGCAUCCCUUACCAUGCUCAUUUCUUGGUCUAUUUGGAAUGGAAGAAACUCAAGAGUAUUUCGCAACAAGUCCUUGCCGCCAACGAUCUUGCUCAACAACAUAAGGUUGAAGCUUCACUUUGGGUGGCCGCGGCCGCCAAAAAACUAG